rnacentral:rRNA from 1 species
UACGUAGGGUGCAAGCGUUGUCCGGAAUUAUUGGCGUAAAGAGCUCGUAGGCGGUUUGUCGCGUCUGCUGUGAAAACUCGGGGCUUAACUCCGGGCCUGCAGUGGGUACGGGCAGACUAGAGUGCGGUAGGGGAGACUGGGAAUUCCUGGUGUAGCGGUGAAAUGCGCAGAUAUCAGGAGGAACACCGGUGGCGAAGGCGGGUCUCUGGGCCGUAACUGACGCUGAGGAGCGAAAGCGUGGGGAGCGAACAGG